GCUAAAGAAAGCACUGGAACGCCUGGAAAAACUUGAAAAUCAAGGUCGACGGCAGAACGUGAGGAUCGUAGGGCUAAAAGAAGGCACAGAGGGCAAAACACCGGUCGACUUUUUUGUAAAGUGGAUACCAGACGUCUUGAAUAUGCAGAACGACCGCAUUCAGAUUGAAAGAGCUCACCGCACGAGACCGCGGAUGAGACUUGCCGGCAAAGAGGGUCCAAGAGCCGUCCUGGUGAGGCUGCAUAACUACACCGACAGACAGAGAAUCCUGUACGCGGCGAGGAACAAAGGCACGAUAAAAGUCGAUGGUGGAAAUGUGUCCUUCUAUCAAGAUUUCUCCACGGAGGUUGUAAGGAGGAGGAAGGAGUCGGCAAACGCCCGCAAAUUGCUGAGAGAAGCUGGGAUUAGAUAUUCCUUCGUAUAUCCGGCUGUCAUCAAGAUUUUCCACCCUGAUGGUUCCAGCUCUGCCUUCUCGACCUUGGAAGAAAUUAAUGGCUAAGGUUACAUCAGCAAAUUGCCCCCAUCAAAGUAAACCCCUAGCUUGGAGGCUAAAUGGACUGUGAAUGCUACAGUUUGGGUGUGCUGAGAGGGCUGCUGGGUCUACCACACGGCUGGGUCAAGGUGGAGAGCUGCCUGGUCAAGCAGAACUACUAGAAGCAUCGUGCAACACCGGACCUGACCAGCCACAUAACAGUGACCAGAUACAGAUACGCCGACCUUGUUGUAAGAAUAUCGGCUUCGCCAUACACAAGGACAGCACACCCAGCCACAGACAUUUAUUCCCCCUCUCAACUGAACUGGCUUCCAGACCCAUUUUAUCUAUUUUCUCCCCUAACUUGGGCCCCCAUUUUAACUUUUUUUUUAAUCUAUUGAAUUGUUAAUAAAAUUACUUGCAAAUUUCA